GAUGAACGCUGGCGGCGUGCCUAAUACAUGCAAGUCGAGCGAACAGACGAGGAGCUUGCUCCUAUGACGUUAGCGGCGGACGGGCGAGUAACAUGUGGAUAACCUACCUAUCAGACUGGGAUAACUUCGGGAAACCGGUGCUCAUACCGGAACAUAUAUUGAACCGAACGGUUCAAUAGUGAAAGACGGUUUUGCUGUCAUUUAUAGAUGGAUCAGUGCCGCAUUAGCUAGUUGGUAAGGUAACGGCUUACCAAGCCAACGAUGCGUAGACGACCUGAGAGUGAGAGCGGCCACACUGGAACUGAGACAGGGUCCAGACUCAGACGGGAGGCAGCAGUAGGGAAUCUGCCGCAAGGGGCGAGAGCCUGACGGAGCAACACCGCGGGAGUGAUGAAGGUCUUCGGAUCGUAAAACUCUGUUAGUAGGGAAGAACAAAUGUGUAAGUAGCUAGGCACGUCUUGACGGUACCUGGUCAAAAAGCCACGGCUAACUACGUG
rnacentral:rRNA from 1 species